rnacentral:rRNA from 1 species
CCUGCUCAAUGACAUUUAAUAGCCGCUCUCAGUGCUAAGGUAGCACAAUAAAUUGCUUUUUAAUUAAAAGAUGGAAUGAAAGGAUCCACGAUUUAUAAAUUAUACCAAAUUAUUAUAAAUAAAUUAUUCGCUAUGUAAAAAUCCAUCAUUAAACAAGAAGGACGACAAGACCCUAUCGAACUUAUUCCAAUUCAACUGGGACGGUAAAAAACUAUAUCUUCACCCUUCAUACAAUUCACGCUUCAAUUGAAUAAAAACAAGUUACCGUAGGGAUAACAGCAUAAUAAUUUAACAAAGCCCUCAUCUAAUAAAUUGAUUAUGACCUCGAUGUUGAAUUAACAAUCCUAUUUCUAGAAAAAAAGAAAAAAGAGAGUCUGUUCGACUCUUAACUUGUUACAU